UAUUCUGCCCCGCGGGGAAGGAUGAGAAGCUUCGACUAAGGUUCGACUCGAGCGUCAGCGAGAGAACGUUGCCGCAGGCAACGGCCCGAAGGGCGAGGCGCUUUAGCGCCGAGUAAUCCUUCCCCCACCACCA
rnacentral:sRNA from 1 species